UGGGGGAUAUUGCGCAAUGGGGGCAACCCUGACGCAGCAACCCCCCGUGAAGGAUGAAGGUUUUCCGAUUGUAAACUUCUUUUAUUAAGGACGAAACUUGACGGUACUUAAUGAAUAAGCUCCGGCUAACUACGUGCCAGCAGCCGCGGUAAUACGUAGGGAGCAAGCGUUGUCCGGAUUUACUGGGUGUAAAGGGUGCGUAGGCGGCUUUGCAAGUCAGAUGUGAAAUCUAUGGGCUCAACCCAUAAACUGCAUUUGAAACUGUAGAGCUUGAGUGAAGUAGAGGCAGGCGGAAUUCCCCGUGUAGCGGUGAAAUGCGUAGAGAUGGGGAGGAACACCAGUGGCGAAGGCGGCCUGCUGGGCUUUAACUGACGCUGAGGCACGAAAGCGUGGGUAGCAAACAGGAUUAGAUACCCUGGUAGUCCACGCUGUAAACGAUGAUUACUAGGUGUGGGGGGUCUGACCCCUUCCGUGCCGGAGUUAACACAAUAAGUAAUCCACCUGGGGAGUACGGCCGCAAGGUUGAAACUCAAAGGAAUUGACGGGGGCCCGCACAAGCAGUGGAGUAUGUGGUUUAAUUCGAAGCAACGCGAAGAACCUUACCAGGUCUUGACAUCCAACUAACGAAGUAGAGAUACAUUAGGUGCCCUUCGGGGAAAGUUGAGACAGGUGGUGCAUGGUUGUCGUCAGCUCGUGUCGUGAGAUGUUGGGUUAAGUCCCGCAACGAGCGCAACCCUUGCUAUUAGUUGCUACGCAAGAGCACUCUAAUAGGACUGCCGUUGACAAAACGGAGGAAGGUGGGGACGACGUCAAAUCAUCAUGCCCCUUAUGACCUGGGCUACACACGUACUACAAUGGAUGUUAACAGAGGGAAGCAAGACAGCGAUGUGGAGCAAACCCCUAAAAACAUUCUCAGUUCAGAUUGCAGGCUGCAACCCGCCUGCAUGAAGAUGGAAUUGCUAGUAAUCGCGGAUCAGCAUGCCGCGGUGAAUACGUUCCC
rnacentral:rRNA from 1 species